CGAAAGCCUGACGGAGCAAGACCGCGUGAGGGAGGAAGGCUCUUGGGUUGUAAACCUCUUUUCUCAGGGAAGAAGCUCUGACGGUACCUGAGGAAUCAGCCUCGGCUAACUCCGUGCCAGCAGCCGCGGUAAUACGGAGGAGGCAAGCGUUAUUCGGAAUUAUUGGGCGUAAAGCGUCCGCAGGGGGCUCAUCAAGUCUGCUGUCAAAGGUCGGGGCUUAACUCCGGAAAGGCAGUGGAAACUGAAGCGCUAGAGUGCGGUAGGGGUAGAGGGAAUUCCCGGUGUAGCGGUGAAAUGCGUAGAGAUCGGGAAGAACAUCGGUGGCGAAAGCGCUCUACUGGGCCGCACCUGACCCUCAGGGACGAAAGCUAAGGGAGCG
rnacentral:rRNA from 1 species